rnacentral:rRNA from 1 species
CCUACGGGAGGCAGCAGUGGGGAAUAUUGGGCAAUGGAGGAAACUCUGACCCAGCGACGCCGCGUGCGGGAUGAAGGCCUUCGGGUUGUAAACCGCUUUCAGCAGGGAAGAAGCGAAAGUGACGGUACCUGCAGAAGAAGCACCGGCUAACUAUGUGCCAGCAGCCGCGGUAAUACAUAGGGUGCAAGCGUUGUCCGGAAUUAUUGGGCGUAAAGAGCUCGUAGGUGGUUCGUCACGUCGGAUGUGAAAAUCUGGGGCUUAACCCCAGACCUGCAUUCGAUACGGGCGAGCUUGAGUAUGGUAGGGGAGUCUGGAAUUCCUGGUGUAGCGGUGGAAUGCGCAGAUAUCAGGAGGAACACCAAUGGCGAAGGCAGGACUCUGGGCCAUUACUGACACUGAGGAGCGAAAGCGUGGGGAGCGAACAGGAUUAGAUACCCUGGUAGUCCACGCCGUAAACGGUGGGCACUAGUUGUGGGGACCUUCCACGGUCUCUGCGACGCAGCUAACGCAUUAAGUGCCCCGCCUGGGGAGUACGAUCGCAAGAUUAAAACUCAAAAUGAAUUGACGG